rnacentral:rRNA from 1 species
UACGGAGGGUGCAAGCGUUAUCCGGAUUCACUGGGUUUAAAGGGUGCGUAGGUGGAAUGGUAAGUCAGUGGUGAAAUCUCCAAGCUUAACUUGGAACUGCCGUUGAUACUAUCAUUCUUGAAUAUCGUGGAGGUAAGCGGAAUAUGUCAUGUAGCGGUGAAAUGCUUAGAUAUGACAUAGAACACCGAUUGCGAAGGCAGCUUGCUACACGAUCAUUGACACUGAGGCACGAAAAGCGUGGGGGAUCAAACAGG